rnacentral:rRNA from 2 species
GAGCGGAUGACGGGAGCUUGCUCCUUGAUUCAGCGGCGGACGGGUGAGAUUAAUGCCUAGGAAUCUGCCUGGUAGUGGGGGACAACGUUUCGAAAGGAACGCUAAUACCGCAUACGUCCUACGGGAGAAAGCAGGGGACCUUCGGGCCUUGCGCUAUCAGAUGAGCCUAGGUCGGAUUAGCUAGUUGGUGGGGUAAUGGCUCACCAAGGCGACGAUCCGUAACUGGUCUGAGAGGAUGAUCAGUCACACUGGAACUGAGACACGGUCCAGACUCCUACGGGAGGCAGCAGUGGGGAAUAUUGGACAAUGGGCGAAAGCCUGAUCCAGCCAUGCCGCGUGUGUGAAGAAGGUCUUCGGAUUGUAAAGCACUUUAAGUUGGGAGGAAGGGCAGUAAGCUAAUACCUUGCUGUUUUGACGUUACCGACAGAAUAAGCACCGGCUAACUCUGUGCCAGCAGCCGCGGUAAUACAGAGGGUGCAAGCGUUAAUCGGAAUUACUGGGCGUAAAGCGCGCGUAGGUGGUUCGUUAAGUUGGAUGUGAAAGCCCCGGGCUCAACCUGGGAACUGCAUCCAAAACUGGCGAGCUAGAGUACGGUAGAGGGUGGUGGAAUUUCCUGUGUAGCGGUGAAAUGCGUAGAUAUAGGAAGGAACACCAGUGGCGAAGGCGACCACCUGGACUGAUACUGAUACUGAGGUGCGAAAGCGUG